AUUGAACGCUGGCGGCAUGCCUUACACAUGCAAGUCGAACGGUAACAGGUCUUCGGAUGCUGACGAGUGGCGAACGGGUGAGUAAUACAUCGGAACGUGCCCGAGAGUGGGGGAUAACGAGGCGAAAGCUUUGCUAAUACCGCAUACGAUCUACGGAUGAAAGCAGGGGACCGCAAGGCCUUGCGCUCAUGGAGCGGCCGAUGGCAGAUUAGGUAGUUGGUGGGAUAAAAGCUUACCAAGCCGACGAUCUGUAGCUGGUCUGAGAGGACGACCAGCCACACUGGGACUGAGACACGGCCCAGACUCCUACGGGAGGCAGCAGUGGGGAAUUUUGGACAAUGGGCGCAAGCCUGAUCCAGCCAUGCCGCGUGCAGGAUGAAGGCCUUCGGGUUGUAAACUGCUUUUGUACGGAACGAAAAGACUCCUUCUAAUAAAGGGGGUCCAUGACGGUACCGUAAGAAUAAGCACCGGCUAACUACGUG
rnacentral:rRNA from 1 species